rnacentral:lncRNA from 1 species
AUAUGGUAGAAUCUUCUUGUAUCAUCAAAAAUCUCAUAGUUUGUGAGUUUGCUAACUUGAGGGCUCUACAAUAAGGCUCAAGCUUAUCAUACGAUAGAUGAUCGAGACCAUAAAUCUCACACAUGAUCGUUUCUUUCCCAUGCCAUGCUUGAUAGUACUUGAGCAACAUGCCAUAUUUUUCAUGGAUAUCGGCCACAAUUUCGAUAGGCUGGC